UGCAGCUCUUGAAGAGGAUGAAGAUGAGGAGCAGAUCUAUAAUAAGAAGGAAGGCCAGGACGUCCAGGCUGUGGUACUGGUACCAGAAUUUGUUCCAUCAUGACGUCCUGCAGAGCGUAGAAGAGGACGUUCGACAGUCUCUCUGAGAAGUCCAUCUUGUCUCAUCUCUUGAAACAGAAGCUGCAGCUCUUGAAGAGGAUGAAGAUGAGGAGCAGAUGUAUAACAAGGAGGAAGGCCAGGACAUCCAGGCUGUGGUACUGGUACCAGGUGAGUUUGUGGGCCUGGACCCUCAGGUGUUUGGCUCCUUUGUUCCUCAUGGUGAACUUGAUCCUGAAGACGGCCUCGUCCCGAGGACUCAUGGGUCUGUCAUGGUGGAUUCUGGAGAGUCGCAUCACGAUUUCUUUGUAGCUGUGGAUGGAUUUUAGGCAAAAUGAGGGGAACACAUUCUGUAGAGCUACAUUUAAAUUUUCCUCCUGUUUAAAACAUUAAACCAGAAACUGGAACCUGUUUAACUCAACUCUGUCACAGCUGUAGACAUUUGUUAAAGAAACAGUGCCAUCUAGUGGCGUUUAGUCUUUCUACAAUAUUGUAAAUACCCUAAACCAGGGGUUCACAAAC